GACGAACGCUGGCGGCGUGCUUAACACAUGCAAGUCGAACGGAAAGGCCCUGCUUUUGUGGGGUGCUCGAGUGGCGAACGGGUGAGUAACACGUGAGUAACCUGCCCUUGACUUUGGGAUAACUUCAGGAAACUGGGGCUAAUACCGGAUAGGAGCUCCUGCCGCAUGGUGGGGGUUGGAAAGUUUCGGCGGUUGGGGAUGGACUCGCGGCUUAUCAGCUUAUUGGUGGGGUAGUGGCUUACCAAGGCUUUGACGGGUAGCCGGCCUGAGAGGGUGACCGGCCACAUUGGGACUGAGAUACGGCCCAGACUCCUACGGGAGGCAGCAGUGGGGAAUAUUGCACAAUGGGCGGAAGCCUGAUGCAGCAACGCCGCGUGCGGGAUGACGGCCUUCGGGUUGUAAACCGCUUUCGCCUGUGACGAAGCGUGAGUGACGGUAAUGGGUAAAGAAGCACCGGCUAACUACGUG
rnacentral:rRNA from 1 species